ACGGGCAAAAAUAGCAGAUUACAUUAAGUUUUCGUUUCAAACAAGUGACUGAUUUCAGAAAGUGAAGUUUAAUCUGCAUUCGAUCAACAUUUCGGGCUGCCCAUGUGCGGAGAAGUGUGUGAAAACUUGAUUUUUUCAAUGCCCUUUGAGAAGAAGUGUAGUGCAGUGAUAAACCCACACAGAAAAAAUAAAAUUGUUUUGCUAAAUAUGUAGUACUUUACAAUUGAAAAGUGCUCUAUUUUGAUCAAAUUAAGAGUAAAAUUGUUCAUCAUAAAAGUUAGUUUAUCAUUCGUAAAGUUUGUUUUGUCAGUUCUGUUUGUAUAUUUGAAAGUUCAUACUUUUACUAAUAAAACUGUAGAACUGUCAAAUUUCACACGAAAAUUCAUCAAAAGGUAUAACAGAUCGGGACACCUCAAGAAAAAAUAAACGCAUAUCUUUUCAAAUUAACAUAUUUUCAGUUUUGAUACAUUUUAUAUCACAAGGUAAAAACACUUUGAAAUGUAUCAAAAUGUGUUCUAAUAAUUAUUGAGCUAUUGUUUAGCUCUAAACCUGCAUGAAGGCAUUCGAAAUUAGCAACAUACUUUUUAAUAGUAACAUGCAAUUCCAGUUAUGCCAAAUAAUCCGAAAUAAUUUCUCAGGGUGUAUUUAUCCGCAGUCAGUUAAGUUUAGUCUUCACACUUCGCGCUCCCGUUUUUUAAGUUGUUUUAGCCGUCGCGAAUCGCAUUUAUUUGCGAAACACAAAUUUAAAACCCUCAACAUCUCGAGCUAAAAUUUCCAUUGAUAGAAUGGAAACUAUACAGCAGGUUUGUCCAGUUAAAAUUUGAUUUAUUUCAGUUUUGUGAUGAGAAUCAACUUUUUUCACAGUACCACUACCGGUGAAAGCUUCAUUUAGGACAAGGCGGUUACCCAUAAAGAGCAGAACACCACCCUUUGUUGUUUUCAUAUACCAGAACCACCAAACAGUUUUCGAAAACGAGAAUAAAUCGGUCGAAGAAUGAUUGACCGCCACAGUAAUCAACAACCAGUGUUCAUAAGAGUGAAUGCAUCAAAACCAGCUUACAGAGGUCCAGAAGUGCAUCUAAGCUUUCAUGGCCAGAAUAUGGCCGAUCGCGACACCGCGACACGAGCCGUCGCAAAUCUAUGUUGGCCUUCGGGCCCAAAGAGAACUGUUUCAAAGAUGUCAAACACGGAGAAACUGGAUACCUCUCGGACUUGAAAGAUAAGUUGUUUUUUCUGACCUUGUCGGGGCAUGGCUAUGUUCACCGAUACCUGCAAGGCGUCCCCGAGAAGCCUUGAGGAAGCUGCUACGUAUUGUAAAAAGGUUAAUAUUUAAAUAAAUGAAAUGAAAAGUAAAAAACAUAUGAAAUUUAAUGGAGUAGAUUGAAAAGAAAGGGUGAAGUAUGGGUUCCGUCUUUUUGAGUAAAUCAAGGAGUAAAUACAAGAUAAUUUUUCAAUUAAAAAUAUCGCACUCUAUUUUAUGAACGGUGUGAUCAUUUUGAUUUGACAGUUCUACAAUUUUGUUUUGAAUGUUUGAACUUUGAAGAUUUGAACCGUAGCUCUUGCAAAAGUUGCCAUACUUUUAUUUUGAACAUAGACAACUCUCUACGAAAAAGAACCAACGCAACUUUUUAUUUUUACCCAUGGUUUUUUUUUAAUUCUAAUAACGAUUUUUCUUUCUAUGUGGGAGAGGAGUGCGGGAGGUGUGUACAAACACUACUCAAGUGAAGUUCCAUGUCAUUCGAUAAAACAAUGAAUUACUGUCACAUUGUACCUCAACAUGUUUUUAACACGUGGUCAGUAUCUCUGUAUCAUCGAUGGAAUCUUCUUUAAAUCCCUCUCGUGAAUUAUAUCGAAUCUAUAACUCACUAUACUACCGUGAAUCGCAUAUCUGUCCCAACUUUGCUGGGUUUCCUAUGCAUAUGGGACAAAUAUGCGAUUCACGGCAGUAUAACCUAUUUGUAACUGUGUAUUAAAACAGGCAUCAGUUCUUCUUGAUUAUAUCGAAGUAGUCCGUUAUGUUCUAGAAUAAGAGUUUUCAUUCGUGUCAAAUCUAUCAAACCAUUCAGACGCACUGAAGAAAAUCUAAAUUCAAAUAAUGAGCGUCGCAGAGAUCCAACCUAUUUCAACGGUUCCAGAUAUCGAGCCAGUCGUCGACCCCAACCAGGAAGUAAUAACAUCAGCGGAGCAGACAUCUCCGGAUAUCGAACAGUCGAAUAUCCCGGAUACCCAGGGACACACUGAACAAAGCAAUGCAGCCUCAGAGGAAUCGCAGCCCGAUGUAGAACAUUUGGUGGACCCUAAUCAAGCAGUCGUUCUGAUACCACCAACUCCGGAAGAAACAGACCCACAGCAGGAUCGUAGAAGUUACCAUCAGCCACCGGCUGAAGAUGGCAUCCAUCGAAGGGCUAGACGACGUCUUCGUAGAAGUCGAUCACGAUCUCUUUUCCGUUCUCGUUCCCGCCGAUCUCUGUCUCGACGCCGGAGGUGAUAUAAAUGGUUACAGAAAUUUCAUUCAAAAUUGUAUUCAAAUUAGUUAAUUUCAUAAAUAAACGCUUUAUAUUUUGAUAUAUAA